UACGGAGGGGGCGAGCGUUAUUCGGAAUUAUUGGGCGUAAAGGGCGCGUAGGCGGCUCGAUAAGUCAAAGGUGAAAUCCCUCGGCUCAACUGAGGAACUGCCUUUGAAACUGUCGAGCUUGAGUCCGGGAGGGGGUAGCGGAAUUCCCAGUGUAGCGGUGAAAUGCGUAGAUAUUGGGAGGAACACCAGUGGCGAAGGCGGCUACCUGGACCGGAACUGACGCUGAGGCGCGAAAGCGUGGGUAGCAAACAGGA
rnacentral:rRNA from 1 species